CGUCUUCUAUUGUGUCUCAUGUGGUCCGUUCUACCGUCACCGUUGAUUAGUUUUCAUGAUAAUUUAUAUUUUUUAUUUAUUUUUAUUUAAGAUUUGUUGGCUUUUAGAUUUGUGCAUAAUAUAUGGCGGAAUAUAAUACGGGAGAGGAUCCAUUUUCUUCGCUAUCAGCCACUAAAGUUUAAUAUGGUCGCUAUUUGUUUUGGCGAUUGACAAAGCGACAACCUAUUUUUAGAUGCUAG
rnacentral:lncRNA from 1 species